rnacentral:lncRNA from 1 species
GACUAGCGUAGCGGCAGCGUCGCUCUAGACCUCAACCGUGUCACGCUAGUCUAUGGUUUUAACUCGCCUCUUCUCCAUGCUUCGGGGCCAAGCGCUGUUUGGGCUUCGCCUUCCUCCGCCCGCUGACCCAGUGGUAAAAAGAGAAGAGAUGAGCAGGGAUUCCUCUAGUCUCCGAGGCCACACCCUGGAACCUCUGAUGCCACUCCAGAAAGACGAAAGGGGUAGUGGCUUGUUCCACCUUGGGUGGGGUCACUCCCGCUGAGGCUUGGCGCGGUCUACUGGACAAGCCCAGUGUCCUACUUUGCUUUCUGUUGCUGUGAUAAACACUGUGAUUUGAAGCAACCCGGAAAGAAAAGAGUUUGUUACAGUUGACACGUUACAGUCACACCACCCGAGGAAACCAGGGCAGGAGCUCGGAGCCGAAGCCAAGGAGGAACGUUGCUUACUGGUGUGAGGGUGGGUUUUUGUUUUGCUUUUCUUUUGGUUUUUUGUUUGUUUUUUUCUUUUUUAAGUCAAAGAUAUGGCUAGCCUACAAUACUCCGCGAAUCUCUAACACCUUGUAAAACCUUCAUGUAAAGGAAUUCAAAUAUUUUCACCCCCCCUUCCACCUCAACUAGUAAAACUUUUUUUUGGGAAAGCUCUGCUGCAUUCCCAGAAUGCCCUUGACCCAGAGCAGCCCAGUUGACCACUCUGCCCUUUCCUUCACGUUGAUUAUGCAUUAGCCAAUCAGAUGAGGUAAUCUCUGCCACCAAUGGGGUGAGAUUAAGUCACCACUUGCCUUAGAAUAAAAGCUAAAUGAACUUCGUGCCCAUGAACUUCGUGCCCCGGUGUGUUUCCUAGCCUGGUUUAGAUCCUGGCAUAGACACCUUACAAAGAGAAACUGUUUUGCAGAGUUACUUCCUUGUUAUUUAAGUGUUUUUUUGUGCAGCUCCACAAAUAUUCUUUUCCAACACUAGUUUGCUCUCUUGCUUGUUCGGGUUUUUGUUUGUUUGUUUGUUUUUCUAAAAUGCCAUGUGUAUGAUUGUUUCCCAGCGUGUAUGUCUGUGCACCACAGGCAUGCCUGAUACCCACGGAGGCCAGAAAACAAGCAGUGGAUCCCAUGGAAGUGGACUUAAAGACAUUGUGAGACACCAUGUGGGUACUGAGAAUCUAAGCCAGACCAUCUGGAAGGCCAGCUCUUAACCUCUGAACCAUUUCCCCAGCCAACUUUCUUAUACAGCCCAGGACCACCUUCCUGGUGACAGCACUACUACAGUGGGCCUGGACCUACUAUAUCAGUUAGCAACGAAGAAAACACCUCGGCUGGGAGGUGUUGGCCCAGCACUAGGGAGGCAGAGGUAGGCUGAUGUACAGACUGAGUUUCAGGACAUCCAGGGCUACACAGAGAAACAGGGGUAGGGGUAUGAAUGGGAAAAGGGACUAAGACUCUUCCCUCUGGCCCUGUUCUACCUAUGGGAACAACGGAGAGCCCCCCCCUCCUCACCUCUACAAUCAUGUUUCCACCUCCCGCCACACUCAAUCUGGUUUCCCUGCCUGCAGAUUGGGAGGGUAGACUCCACCCUAGGCUUCCAGCAUUCUCUGUGCACUGCUCCAGCAGACGGUAGGGGUUACCCAGGAGGGACACACUUUGCACUAAAGAGUGGGCCUGAUUUUGGAGGUUUAGACAUUUGUAUGAAAGUACAAAUGCUGUGGCUCCGUGCAGAAUGCCUGCCCCUCACGGUAAGAUUUGCACUGCAUGCAGAACCCCACAGUCUUGCCUCCCCAUCCUCUCCGGGGACUCCUUUCUUCUUGUGAUUUUUGUAAACCUGAAGGGAUCGACAGCUGGUCCCCAAGUGUGGUUCUCUUUCCUGAGUCCUGUUCACCCAGGUUCCAGCUCAAAUGUAGCAUCUUCCAUGCAGCCCUUACCAUUCCCAUCUGCUCAGGAGUGUGCCAUCUGUCCCUUUUCAUCCUCAUGACCGACACCAGCCACCUGGGGAGGUUUUGGCUCAUGAUGGACCACCUCUGCCACAGUGGGUCUGUGAGAUAAUGCCACGUAGGCCAUCUGCAUAGAUGGCUGAAAUGAUGAUGGAGGUAGGAGGAGGUAACAUGGUGAUUAGGACUUGGCAGGGUACUAGGUACAGGAAGCCCAUAGGAGUAUAUUCUAGGAUGUGGGAGCAGAGACAGAAUCAGCUAAGGACCCAUAUCCUUGUAAUUAAGAGAAGAAGGAAGAUCUAGAGAGAUGACUCAGGGGCAAAAAGCACUUGCUGCUCUUGCAGAGGACAUGGGUUUGGUUCUCAGCACUCAUAAGGUGGCUCACACUCAUCUAUAGUUCUAAUUCCAAGGAAUCUAAUACCUUCUUCUGCACCCCUCAGGUACUAUGUGCAUGUGGCACACAUUCAUAUAUACUGAAGAUAGAACGUACACCUAGGAUAAAAAAGUAAAUGUUCUGGUGAGAUGGCUCAGUGGGUAAGAGCACCUGACUGCUCUUCCGAAGGUCAGGAGUUCAAAUCCCAGCAACCACAUGGUGGCUCACAACCAUCCGUAACAAGAUCUGACUCCCUCUUCUGGAGUGUCUGAAGACAGCUACAGUGUACUUACAUAUAAUCAAUAAAUAAAUCUUUAA